GUUUGUGACAGGAUCUUGCUGUGUUGCCCAGACUAGCCUUCCAGGCUCAAGUGAUCUUCCUGCCUCAACUUCCCAAGUAGCUGAGACUACAAGUACAUGCCACUGUGCCUUAUAGGAAGAAGUAAAUUCCAAAAGAAAGAAAAACAUCAGUGGAGGAAAGAGUGUUUUAUGGGAUGUUAUAGAAUAAUAUCCAAGAUAUAUUGUUAAUUUAAAAAUUAGAAUGUAUACAUAUGUUAGUCAGCUUUUCAUUGCUGUGACCAAAAUGCUUGACAAGAACAAAGUAGAAGAAGAAAAGUUUAUUUGAAGCUUACAGUUUCAGAGGUUUGGACCCAAAGUGAGGAAGAACAUCAUGGUGGAAGGGCUUUUCAGAAAAGCCAGCAGCUGCAGCCAGGAAAGAGAGGAAAGGGAGGGACCACAGGGAAGAUGCACCCUUCCAGAGCAGCCCACAGUGACCCACUUCUGUUAGCCACUCCCCACCUGCCUACAGUUACCACCCAGUCGGCCCAUUCAAACUAGGACGUACUAAUUAGGUUACAGCUCUCACAAUCCAGUCAUUUCACCUCCUGCAUUUUUAAAACAAAGUAUUUAUUUAUUCUAAUUAGGUAUAUAUGACAGCAGAAUGCAUUUUGAUUCAUUGUACACAAUUGCAGCACAACUUUUCAUUUCUCUGGUUGUGCAAGAUGUAGCAUCCCACCAUAUGUGUAGUCAUACAGGUACCCAGGGUAAUGAUGUCCAUCUCAUUCCACCAUCUUUCUAGCCCCCAUGCUCCCUCCUCCCCUUUCUCCCCUUUGCCUAAUCAAAGUUUCUCCAUUCUUCCCAUACCCCUCCCCCCAUCAUGGACCAGCAUCCACUUACUUAUCUGAAAGAACAUUCGGUUUUUGGUUCUUUGGAAUUGGCUUACUUCACUUAGCAUGAUGUUCUCCAACUCCAUCCAUUUACCUGCAAAUGCAAUAAUUUUAUUCUAUUUUUUAAAAGAUAUAUAUAUAUAGAGAGAGAGAGAGAGAGAAUUUUUUAAUAUUUAUUUUUCAGUUUUUGGUGGACACAACAUCUUUAUUUUAUUUUUAUGUGGUGCUGAGGAUGGAACCCAGCGCCCCGCGCAUGCCUGGCGAGCAUGUUACCACUUGAGCCACAUCCCCAGCUCAAUUUUAUUCUAUUUUAAUGCUCAGUAAUAUUCCAUUGUGUUUUUAUACCACAGUUUCUUUAUCCAUUCA
rnacentral:lncRNA from 1 species